UUCAGCAGUGAUUAACAUUGAUAAUAAGCGCAAGCUUGAAUCAGUUAAAGUAGAGAGAGUCGGCAAAUCUGGUGCCAGCCGCCGCGGCUAUACCAUGUGACUCAAAUUGACCCCUAACGGCGUAAAGCGUGAUUAAAGAUAAUUAAAGCUGUAGUUAAACUGGAACUAGAUCGUGAAAUAUGCGUUCCACAGAAACUCAAAAACGAAAGUUACUACAUAUAAUCAACUUGAAUUCACGACAGCUGGGAAACAAACUGGGAUUAGAUACCCCACUAUGCCCAACCGUAAACCUUAACUUACACCCAAAUCGCCUGGGAACUACGAGCAAAGCUUAAAACCCAAAGGACUUGACGGUACCCCAUAUCCACCUAGAGGAGCCUGUCCUAUAAUCGAUAAUCCCCGUUCAACCUCACCACUUUUAGCUUAUCAGCCUGUAUACCUCCGUCGCCAGCUUACCCCGUGAGUGAUUAUAGUAAGCUCAAUGUCCAUCCGUCAAAACGUCAGGUCAAGGUGCAGCUUAUAAAGUGGGAAGAGAUGGGCUACAAUCUCUAAUCUAGAAAAUACGAAAGACUACUUAUGAAACCUAGUCGGAAGGCGGAUUUAGAAGUAAAAAGAGACAAGAAAACCCUUUUUAACCUGGCACUGGGGUGUGUACACACCGCCCGUCACCCUCUUCAAAAGCCAAUAAUAACAGUAUUUAACCUACUUAAGCGAGAUAGAAGAGGCAAGUCGUAACAUGGUAAGUAUACCGGAAGGUGUGCUUGGAAA
rnacentral:rRNA from 1 species